rnacentral:rRNA from 1 species
CCUACGGGAGGCAGCAGUGGGGAAUAUUGCGCAAUGGGCGAAAGCCUGAUGCAGCGACGCCGCGUGAGGGAUGAAGGUCUUCGGAUCGUAAACCUCUGUCAGCAGGGAAGAAAGGUCACUGUGCUAAUCAGCAGUGAAUUGCCGGUACCUGCAAAGGAAGCACCGGCUAACUCCGUGCCAGCAGCCGCGGUCAUACGGAGGGUGCGAGCGUUAAUCGGAAUUACUGGGCGUAAAGCGAUCGUAGGCGGCAUGUCAAGUCAAGGGUGAAAUCCCCGCGCUCAACGUGGGAACUGCCUUUGAAACUGGCAAACUGGAGUGUGUGAGAGGAUAGUGGAAUUCCAGGUGUAGGAGUGAAAUGCGUAGAUAUUUGGAGGAACAUCAGUGGCGAAGGCGACUAUCUGGCACAUAACUGACGCUGAGGAGCGAAAGCGUGGGUAGCAAACAGGAUUAGAUACCCCUGUAGUC